AAAAUCCGUUGGUCUUUGAAGACCGUGAGGGUUCAAGUCCCUCUACCCCCA
rnacentral:tRNA from 1 species